GAUAUGACCUCCUGUCGCAUGGUGGGGGGUGGAAAGGGUUUGUACUGGUUGUGGAUGGGCUCACGGCCUAUCAGCUUGUUGGUGGGGUAAUGGCCUACCAAGGCGACGACGGGUAGCCGGCCUGAGAGGGUGACCGGCCACACUGGGACUGAGACACGGCCCAGACUCCUACGGGAGGCAGCAGUGGGGAAUAUUGCACAAUGGGCGCAAGCCUGAUGCAGCGACGCCGCGUGAGGGAUGACGGCCUUCGGGUUGUAAACCUCUUUCAGCACGGAAGAAGCGAAAGUGACGGUACGUGCAGAAGAAGCGCCGGCUAACUACGUGCCAGCAGCCGCGGUAAUACGUAGGGCGCAAGCGUUGUCCGGAAUUAUUGGGCGUAAAGAGCUCGUAGGCGGUUUGUCGCGUCUGCUGUGAAAGCCCGGGGCUUAACCCCGGGUGUGCAGUGGGUACGGGCAGACUUGAGUGCAGUAGGGGAGACUGGAACUCCUGGUGUAGCGGUGAAAUGCGCAGAUAUCAGGAAGAACACCGAUGGCGAAGGCAGGUCUCUGGGCUGUUACUGACGCUGAGGAGCGAAAGCAUGGGGAGCGAACAGGAUUAGAUACCCUGGUAGUCCAUGCCGUAAACGUUGGGCACU
rnacentral:rRNA from 1 species